UGCCAGCCGCCGCGGUAAUACGGAGGGUGCAAGCGUUGUUCGGAAUCAUUGGGCGUAAAGAGCGUGUAGGCGGCUUGUUAAGUCGAAUGUGAAAUCCCUGGGCUCAACCUAGGAACUGCAUUCGAAACUAGCAGGCUAGAGUGCCGGAGAGGGUGGCGGAAUUCCCGGUGUAGAGGUGAAAUUCGUAGAGAUCGGGAGGAACACCAGUGGCGAAGGCGGCCACCUGGAAGGUAACUGACGCUGAGACGCGAAAGCGUGGGGAGCAAACAGGAUUAGAUA
rnacentral:rRNA from 1 species